AGCAACAGAGAGAGCGAGAAAGAAAGGGAUUUUGCAUCUUCACAGUGAAGAAGAAGAAACAGAAGAAGAAGAAGAAGAAGAAUCUCGAAAAUAUUUGCCCGAUGUGAUUGUUCCUUGCGUGGUGCCGGAGUCAGAAGCAUCUUCAAACGAGAGCGAGAGAUAGAGUUGGAGCAGCGUGUGGCGCGUCGAAUUCGGCUUCAUUGGCUGAAGAAUCAAUCACACAAUGUCCGGUUUUGUGUUGGAAUAUCUGCAGCUUGUGGCUGAUAUUCUGGAAUUUAUACGUGGGUGGAGUGGAGACAGGUCACAGCAUCAGAGUGGAAGCCCGUUUCUGUAUUUUGUCUAGUUUGCCAGUUGAAGGCUGCUGCUGCCAGAUAAUGGUUUUCUAAUUUCAGGAAGAGGUUUUCUCUUCACAGGGAACAGAAUGUUUUGCAAGUUGCUGUAGAUGGGCGCCGAGGACUGUGAAGGCGGCGGUUGGGAGUAUGUAGCGGUGCGCAUUGCCGCAGGCGCUGCACCAAAAUCAAGUGUUCGCGACAGUAGGUUCCCGUGGUGUUGUCAGGGCUAGUUUAUGAAUGUGCAAGCAAAGCGAUAUCAUUGUUCAGAGACUUUUCUCCUGAGAGAAACUGGUGUGCCCCUUCCAAUACACAUAUAAGCACCUGGAUCAUUCAAUGCUCACCACUCCUUUCCUUUUUCACUUCCCUGCAUUUUUGCUUCCAAAAUCGUCUUUGCACUAGUGAAGAUUACUGUGUAAAAUUAAUUGAAGCUAAGAUGGUCAGUAGUGAAUUCAUUUCAAUAGUGUUAUUGGUAAGUUACUGGUGGAUUGUGUUCCAAAAAUAGGAAGGAGAUAACCUUUGGCUAUAAGAGAUUGUAAUGACAAUUCACAAGCAGUAUUGUGUUAGAGAGGCUCACUCAGUUAUCAUUUCAUUUUGAGCGAUGCCUUUGUCUCUUCUGGCUAGCGUCUCAUUUGGGAGGAGUUGUGAAUAGUAUAAUACCAACUUUUUUAAAGCUAUAUAAGCGGUAUUCUCUCCAAA